UUCAUCCAAACCAAACCUAACCCAACGUAGUUAAAUUCAAAUCUAAAAUUUCAGGCGAGUGUUUACAAAUGUUUCAACGUGUUUCGAAAUGAAUUUAUUCGGUGCCACGCGUCGCCAAGCACGUCUUCUCAUUUGCGCGAUAUUUUUCUUUCUCCAUUGUAUAUCAAUUAGCAUUGCCUUUAAUGCUUCCGUGGAUCUUCGUGUGCUGGGAGAUGGAUUUCACAGGCGUUUGGAAUACCAUGUAAACAUUGGGAAUUUAACCAAAGAGAACUGCUAUGUGGCUCUAUUCAUAGAGUUUUCAUCGGCAUUGUACGUCAAUGUCGAUGAAUUGGCGGACCUUCAUAGAUUUGAAAAGGAAUUUCAAAACGUCGUUUGUUCCGUGGGAGAAACUAAUAUUGAGCUCUUUGCAGAAAAGGCAAUGUCACAAAAUGUGACAGUAUGUUCGCUCUUGAAUAAUAUUACAUCCAUCCUGACUAUUCCUAUACACCAAAGAUAUCAGAAUGCCAGGGAAGGUGGUGGUUACAUAAAUGUAUCUCUACCAAGCCCUAAAUUGCUCUUGGGCUGUAAGGAAAGAGUCAAAGGGUAUAGAGUAUCUAAAGUGGAGCUUUGCUUACCUUGUGCGGACCUUGUCACCAAAUGGAGAGAAAUUCCCUAUUAUUCAACUACGUGUAAUUAUGUAUGGCAAGUACCUGUGGGAGAUUUGUCUCACCUUACCUUGGUCACUAACGUGACUCUCCUGUUGACAAGUCUUGGAGCAUUGUUUGCAUUAAAGAGAAUUUGGUCGAAUCGCUCCAGUAGAAGUAAGAAAGAGAAUUAAGAAUAGAAUAGGAUUGGAUAACUGUGAGGCUAAUGGAAACAGCUUUAGAAUAGAUACGAGGUGUUAAUACGAGUCAUAGUAAACACUUCCAAUGGCCUUAUGUCAAGUUUUACAGUGUCAAUGGAACCGUAAAAAAUAAUCAAUAUGACUGAACGGAGUUCAGGUAGGACGGAAUUUCUGAAACGAGCGUCCAGAAUCCCCAGGCUUGUGCGCAUUGCGCCAUAGCGAUGGCCCAAACAGCUGGAGACCUCGCUAUAGCCAGCCACGGCGUCUUCAAUGGCUUCGACAGAGG